CUUUUAUAAUAAGGAAAACAAUAUUGAAUUGAUUCCUCUAAAUAUUUCCUUUUCCUUAUUUGUUUCCCCCUCUUUGCUAUAUAAAUAAGACCCCUUUUAUUCCCUUCAAGGAAUCAACUCACAACACACAUUCAUUCACUCUCAAUCACAAAAUUCUCUCAUCAUUCUCCCUUCUCUCAUUUGCUCUCUUGCUACUUAACAAAACAUUAAUAUUCCGGUUUCAUAUUUGAAGUUCAAGUUGAAGAUUAACUGAAGAAGGAUUUAUUUAUUUGUUUGAAUGUAUAUAUAUAUCUAUAUAUUUUUAUUUUUUUCGCUAUUUUAUUUAUUCGAAUGUUGUAACAAUUGUAACCCUAAAGAUCAUAAUAUAAAUUUAUUUGGGGGUCGUCUAGGGGAGGGGGAUUUAUAUGCUUAUUUGUUCGUUAUAUUUUUUAGAAAUCAUGCCUAUAGGUUUGUCUUUAACCACCUAGAUUUAAUGUUUAUAGGUAUUAUAAUCUAAUCAAUUUUCAAUUUGCUUGACACUUUUGUUAAUAAAGUCUAAAAAUAAUAAACUAGAUUCCGUUAAUGUUAAAAGCAAAUCAUAGUAAUUUAAUAGGCUGAUUAGGUGUUUUAAUAAUGUUAUAAUUUUAGCAUCAUCUUGUCAUGUAGAAACCAUGUCUAAGGUUUAAUUUGUUCAUAACAUUUAAAUUUACAAAAUUAGGCAUAUAUAUAUUUUUUGAACACCUAGAAAUCAUGUCUAUAGGCUUGUAAAUAAACUCUUAACAUAUCCACAAAAAA